GGGCUGGGCCCAGCCCACGAAGAAGUCGAAGACGACGGCGCAGACGGGCCUGGGGUGGGCCCGGGCCCAGGAGACGAGCGGGCCGUGGAGGGAGGCGAGGGCGAGCAUCAGGAUGCCGAAGUAGGUCGGGGCCAUGUCCUUGGCGUUCUCGAGGCCCGGGGCGAGGGAGGGGUGGGAGAGGGGGAGGGAGAGGGGCUGGAUGGAGGGGGACUUGGAGAGGAGAGGGGAGAGGAGGGGGAGGUUCCCCGAGCUCACGGCCACGGUCACGGCCACGCCGCGCCUCGCGAGGAGGUGGGCGAGGUCGAAGAGUGGGAGCAUGUGCCCCUGCGCCGGGAACGGUAUCACGAGCAAGUGGGGAGCUCCGUCGUGGGUUUCCGCCAUUGUUGACACACAGAAUCUCGCUCUCUCCCUCUCUCUCUCUCUCUGUCCCACCCCCCACUCUUCCCCCACUACACGUAGGAGGAAGUAAGGUGCGGUGUUCCUCUCCGUAAUCUUUUAUAAUUAGAUAUACAGAGGGGGCUUGGACUCUUUGACUAAAAGCUCAAGCGGUGGGCGGAAAAUAUAUAAAAGCUAAGAUAUAAUACGCAUGGGUCCCCCGGCCCAAUGCUGACGUAACCAGUGACGGUCUGAUCGGCGACACGUGGCAUAUUGUGAAUGGACAAGGUGAUGUAGCUGAUGCAGAUUUGCCGAAGUUAUUCAUGUGUAAUUGGUUAAAGAAGGCGACAAAGUCCAUUAAGGAGGAAAAAUUCUAGAAUGCAACGGGUAUAUUAAUGACGUGGCGUAAAAUACCAAUCAAAUUAAUUUUUUUAAGAAUAUAUGUUCCAUCAUGAUUGUAAAAAAGUAUUUUUAUUAUAUUUUUAUUUAAAAAGAAGGAAUAUGAUUGACUUGUUAUUGAUGACGUGGUGCAAGUGUGACAGUGUAGAAUUCCUCAUUAAGGAGAAAAUCCCUACAGGAUGUUUUUUUUUUUAACCCUUCCUUGGAGGAUCCAAUUUGCCAAUUUCUUAGCAGUGUCAUGUUAAAAAAAAAAAAACAAACAAACAAACAAAUUCUGCAUAUAAAACUAUCUUAUUGUUUAUUAAUAAUAAAAUAUAUUCGAGCUAUUCUACCAUCUUUGCAGGUGCAAGUCAACUUACCUUGUUGUUUGGAUAAAUUUUGUAUUGGUAAUUUCAGAGAAAAUUAUAUAAUUUUUGAAAAAAAAAUUAUAUUUUACUUCUCAAAAUCUAACAUUCUACUUUAAGGUUUUGUUGCAUCAAGAGUCUUUUAGCAACAUAUUUUGGUCCUUAAUUACCUCAUUACUUUUUGACUAGUUAGAUACCAAAUAAGCACAAGCAAAAAUAGAGAGAGAAAAAUUCAACAGAAUGAUGUAAUUAAAAUUUCUAAAACCUCUUACUUACCCUGUAAGUGACUUCUCCCCCUCUUGUAUAUUAGCGGCAGAUUUAAAAUUAAGUGAUGCACAUCUCUCUCUCUCUCUCUCUCUCACACACAAGAGUAAAAACUAAGUAAUUUAUAUCAUAAAAAAUGUUACCACACAUACAUUUAUUAUCCAGAAAUUGACAAUACACAGUACAAAACACAUACAAAUAUCACCCAACAACACACAACGAAAGAGAUUAAUCUGACAACACUUUGGCCUACAUAAUUUAGAAACAUAAUGGUUACUUAGACACAUCCAUUCUAACGCCCGAUAAGCUCUUGAAAAGCUCAAAAAUGAUUUAAUAUUCAAAUUUCUUAAAAUAUUGGAAGGGGUCUGUCUCGGACCACUGCAUUUCCAAACUAGCUGGGCGUACAACGAAAAGUAUGUGAUUGGAUUAGAUGGGGAUCGCACGGGAGACGGAGGGGUAGACGACUCUCGCGGGAUGGUCCAUGAUGCGGCGGCCCUUCAUGUGGCGGAAGAUGUACACCACCGCGCCGACGGGCCACUCCACCACCGCCGCAGCCGCCGCUGCGACCAACCCCAGAGUCGGCCCCACCACCUUGCACCGGCAAGGGUUGCUCCUCGUCCCGCACUGCACGCACCCGAAGUUUCGCAUCAUUUUACUCGACUGGUUCGAUCGAAUUGAACUAGAUGCUCUUCUUCCUAUCGACGUUUAUGGAGAGCAAUUUUGGAGAGUGUGAUGAGUUGAACAGAGAGAAUUUGCUGACCCUUAUAUAGACUCGAGGGCGAGACACGUGGCGCGCUGUGGUGGGUUAUGUGGAUCGCUACGUGUUGAACUACGAGAGAUGUGAGGCGAGUGUUGGCUCGCACGGGGAAUAGCGAUUUCACACGUGUAGCACCCGUUUCUUUGGAUCAUCACGAAGUGUGCAACGGACAAAUCGCUAAUGGUAAUAAAUAAAUAGAAGGGAAAAACGUAUGAGAGUCACCAAACUUUAAAAUUUUAUAAUUGCAUGUUUUAACUUUUGUAAAAUAAUUUAAUAGAUUUUCAUUCUCUUUUUAAUGCAAAAAUAUUAAUUAAGCAAAAGUUUUUGCUCCCGAGGCCUACUUCUCCGAUUUAAUGUUUGAAAAUUAAGUAUCGUAUUUAAAAAGUGGGAUGAAACGAUCUCCCUUUUUUUUUUUUUUUUCCCAUGCACAGAAAAAAUAGAAUUUUAAGUCUACUUAAAAAAAGUGGCCACCGCAUAUAAUUAUUUAGUAAAGUUUAGGAGAUAUAAUCGUCAAAAUUUAGAAUUCAGAAGUCUAUUUAUAAAAGUGCUAAGUUUUAAGGAGUGUUUGUACUUUUUUAAAAAAAAUAAUAAUUGGUGUGGAUAAGAGUUCUGAUAGAGCUUGAACUGGAUGAGAAUAGCCCAGACACUUGUUGGGCCUAAAGCACUCCUGAAGUUCAAAUAUGGCCUAAGUAGCCCUGGGCCCAACAGAAACAGUAGUAGCCCAUUAACUUUCAUUAUUGAGGUGUACUUAGGUGUGUAACGGCCAGGGGUCGGCCCCGCCCGGCCCGGAUUCACAUCCGAGCCGUGCCGUGGUGGGCCGGAUGCAAUCAACCAUCCGGCCCAUAACGGCCUCCAGGCCCGGAAGGUCUGGGCCCGGCCAGGCCGUGCCGGGCUUCGGGUUAAUCCUUUAAAAUUUUUAUUUUUUAUAAAAAAUAAAAAUUUUAAACUAUGAUCAAUUAAGUAUUUCGAUUUAAAUCAUAUUUUGAUUGAAAAUUUUCAAAUUUAUAAAUAUUUUAAAUUUUUUUAAAAAAUUUAAUAAAUAAUUUUAUAAUUAUUUUGAAUAUAAAUUUAAGUUAGCUUUUGAUUCAUUAGACCAAACAAUUUAGUCCAAUAGACCAAAAAUCCUCUCUUCCAAGGUCUACCACUGCAAACCUUGAGAGGAGAGCUCAUGAGGAGAAGGGCUCCCCCGGAGCUCGUCAUGCUGGCCCGGUCGGCACGGCCCAAGUGGGCUGUGCCGGGGCGGGCCGUGUUGGGCCGGGCCGUCUGCUUACCUCCGGCUCAGCACAGCCUGGGCCCAUUACGUGUCGAACCAUGUCGGGCCGUCGGACCGAAAAGUUUAGGCCCAACAGGCCCGAACUAUCGGGCCGGGCCAGCCCGACACAGGUACUACAGUAUCCGUGCCGUGCUGUAGCUUGGCCCAAGGGGCCGUCCGGCCCGUUUUACAUCCCUGUGUAGUCCAUCGGAUCAACCACACAUAUAUAUAUGUAAGGUGGCAACAUCACAAUUUGUGUAAGUUUGGAGGCAUGAAUAUGUUGAUCGGUAAUAUACGUCGUGCUUAUUUAAGCAGUAUGUAGUAGCAUAUGGUUGAGGCAAGCAAUAAUAGAUAUCAAUACCAUAUUAUUGUUCAUUAAAUUAGUUUCUUCAAAUAUGAUAAACUGCGUAGAAGCCGAUAGAACUCAAAAAGUUUGAUUUCCAAUUCACAAAAAAAAAAACUACGAGAAAGUCGACGUUUUACCAAAUAACUUAUUCCAAUAACUAGAUAGAAAUUACUUGAAGUGGAACUCUUCAUUCAACAGAUACAAGAGGCUUACAAGGGUAAGUAAUAUUAGUUAAUUAAUAAGUUAUUAAUUGUGAAUUAAUGCGAAAUAAUUGUUUGUUUCUAAUAACUUAAGCUAGCAAAGAGCCAAAGAAUACUAUUUUUAUAUUUUUUAGUUAACAUUUCUUCAAGAUUUUUAAAUAAACCUAAAAUGUAAAUUUAAUUAAAUGAAAAAAAUUAAAUAAUGUUAGAAAACUAACGAGAUUCAAAUUCAGAACUUUCAUUCUGAUAUUAUAAAAAUAAUAUAAAAUAAUUAUUUUUAAGGGUUAUUUGCAUACAGGUCCCUGCAAACAUAGUGAAUUGCGGAAAUAUCCCUGCAAAACGGAAACUCCAUAAGUUGUCCCUGCAAAAGUCCUAAGUUAUGCAGAUAUGUCCCUGCCGUCCAGAUCUGUUAGAAAUUUUUCGUUAACCACGGUUAAAAUACUUAACCAUGGUUAAUUAUAGUGUAAAUUGACGUAUUUACCCUUCUUCCUCUUCCUCCUCUUCCUCUUCCUUCUUCUUCGUCGCCGGCGAGGAGAUGCGGCGGCGGCGGCGACGGCGGCGGCGGCGGCGACGACGAACCCUCUUACUUUUCCUCUUCCCUCUUCCUCUUUUCCCUUCUUCUUCCUUCUUCUUUCUUCCUCUUCCUCUUCCAUCUUCUUCGUCACCGGCGAGGGAGAAGAGUCUCGUCGGGGUCGGCCUCCGAAAGGCGGGCGAGAAGCUCGAGGGCGUUGUUGUCAACAAGGGCGGCGACGAGGGCGUGCGCGGGGUCGUCGUGGUCGCCGAGGACGUCGGUGUCGGUGAGGUCGGUGAGGAGGGAGACGACGUCGACGGCGAUGUCGGCGAUGUCGUGGCCGAGGAGGCCAACGAGGGAGAGGACGGCAUUGAGGGCGACGAGCUCCGGGUAGAGAGCUCCGGUGCCCCGGCGUUCUUCCCUCUUCUUCGUCGCCGGCGAACCCGACCCCGCGCCGCCGCCGCCGUCGUCCGCUUCGAUGAUCCAAAGAGAAAGAGAAAGAGAAGGGAAGAGGAAAACUUUUAGAGGAAUAUAUUUGUGAGGGUAAAAUGGUCAUUUCACGAAUCCACUGUUAAAAAAUAAACAGAUCACUAACGGAUGUUAACCGGAGGGACAUAUCUGCAUAACUUACGACUUUUGCAGGGACAACUUAUGGAGUUUCCGUUUUGCAGAGAUAUUUCCGCAAUUGGCUAUGUUUGCAGGGAGCUGUAUGCAUUUGACCCUUUUUUUAAAUAGUUUAAACUAGUAAAGAAGAAUAUUUUUAUUUUUAUAUUUAACACUAUAUGAAAUUAUCAAUCGUUCUUGUGUUAAAAGACAGAAUAAUUGAUAUUUAAGUAUUUAAAUUUUAAAAAUAAUUACUUCGUACUUUCCGAAACUACAAUACGGAAUUAACCUGUUGGUUUAUUUAUUGGGUCCUGUGGCUUUUGUAGUAUUGUCAGAUGAGAAGAAGAGAGAGUUGUACGAUGCAGGAUUUUAUGGUCCGAUUCAACACGACGAAGACGAGGUCGAGGUAAGAAACAUUUCUACAAUUGGAUCUUUGAAGCGCUAUUUCCUCUUAUAUCAAUAGAAUGACUCAGAAUUUAAAAUACUAAAAUAAGUAUUUUUGGAGUAUGGAUAUUGAAGGAGAAACUAUAUUUUAUUAAUUAGAACACGGGAACAUUGAGCAGCUCCGUAAUUAGACUCAAAACUCAAAGCUAGCAUCCUGCCAUACGGCGAAGGAUAUGUUGGGCCGAAUCAUUUUUGAAAUGAUGGAAGGCCGGAUUGGAUCGAGUCGCAAACGAAACUAACGGGUGUUGUGUCUGUGCUUUCUAAGUAAAUUGAUAACAUCUUUUAAGAGCUCGAGCUUUUGAGGUUUUGCACCAACGAUUCGAUACGUGGCAUAAGAGUCAGAAAUAAUGGCUUCAAUUCGUAGCAUGACCCAACCUGACCUAACAAUCCUCUCCGUAGCACCUACAAAAUUUCACAGCAUGCCAGUAUCGAACUCGCAAUCUCUGACUCUUAUACUACUUAUCAGAUCGUUGGCGCUAAAUAUUAAUUAUAAAAAUUCAAAAUAUUAGAAAAAUAUAACUAAUUCAUUUAAAGUAUAAGGCACAAUGCAUACGGGUCUCGAUUUUGGCUUGGAUUUUGCCGCUUUGAAUAUAGCUCGGCCAUAUCUGAUCUCAUGCCAUUUCAAACGUGAAUCGGCCUAAUCUGGUCUCGCAUCACAAGGCAGGAUACUAACUCCUUUGAACCAACUCUGCAUGAAAGCUUCUUAUAUAUGAUUAAGUAGUUGAUGCACCAAAAUCUAGCUAUUUAGUAAUUAGAUGAAUCCUACUAACAUUCUAUAACCAAUGGAUAAAGAAAUAUCCACUCAAAUAAUAACUCAAAUAUUUUGUUAAAAUUUUAAAUCGAUCGCUAAUAGAAUUUCAAUUUAAACUCUAAUCAAGUUUGGAUUACUACUCUCAACAUUAAAGAUCUUUAUUUUCUCAUGUAAGGUGGAUUCAUUAAAAAUAAAAGAUAUUAUUAACAUAUCUAAAUUUACAAUUUGCGGUUUACACUCUUCAAUGAAUCUACUUAUUUUCAGUCAAUUCAAGGUAACUAGAUUCAGUGCAUAUAUUUGUUACAAUUAAGUACUCUAGAUCUAUUAAUAUUAUUUUUUUUUAAGGAAAAAAAAACAUGCUAACCGCUUCGUUUAUUUUUUUAUAAAAAUAAAUUUAGAUAGAAAUAUGAAUCAAUUAGAAUUCGAACUUAAAAUUUCGAGUACCAACCAUCAAAUUUUUUGUCAAUUAUGCUAGCUCUAUUAAUAUAUUACUAGAUGAUUACGUAAUUACUGAUUUUUCUUUUUUUCCGAAGGGCUUUCAUGAGUUUUUUCAAGAAAUGCUUCUUCUUAUGGCUAAAGUGAGGAGAGAGGUACGUAAUUUCCAUUCCAUCAAAAGUAUUUCGUUGUUUUGAGUAAUUGCUUACUGUUUAAUUUAGGCCUAUCUUAUAAGUAAAUGCCAUUCACAAAUUUGGAACACCUCUUUAGAUAUUUUUUUUUUGGAUAACUUAAAAUGACGGUGAAAAUCCGAAGAAAAAUUAUUCGGUUGCUAGCGAUUUUCACUAUCAUUUAAAGAGAAAAAAAGUUUUCUAAAAUAUUUUACUACGGUGGUUAUUAGAGGUGACGAAUGAUAUAUGAUCGAACAAUGAUUGCUCACAGGAGAGGAAAUACAGUUUAGCGGAGUUACAGCAAAUGUUGGUUGAGAUGGCUUGCAGUUUUGCGCCAUCUCCUCCUCCUAGUAAUGGGUUCGCCGCCGGAGUAUCGACCGUAGAUGCGGGAAGAUUCGGCAAUGGUGCAGAUCGAAUGGCGGAAAUUAAAUCCGGUGUUCGUGUGUCGGGUGUAGGGAGAUUGGGGAGCACAGGCUCUUACUAUGUGUAGCACUUGUCCUGAUAUAGAGAUGUUGUGUGUAAAAAUAUUUUUGUAGUUGGAUGAGUUAAUUUUGCAAAUAGUGGAGUUAGAAAUUUUGGGUUUUUGUGAUCGAAAAUAAGAAGGGAACUUCAAUUAGGUUUAUUGAGGUUUAGCGGUUUUUUAGUUUGCUAUUCUGUGGUUUAAAAUAUUUUAUUAUUUUAUUUUAUAGUAUUGUUCGUGGAAAUCUGACAUCAAGAAAAAAUUGGUAAAUUAAGGAAUGAUUGCAAUUAGCCCCUUGAAAAAAAUUAUUUUAAAAAUAGUUUCAGCAAAUUUAAAUUUGCAAGAAUGCCCAUGAUCUUACCAUGCAGGCGUCACAUCAGGGCCACGUGGACGGGUUGGGGUGUUAAAUUCAAACACGGUGAAUGAUUCACCGUGUAUCAUACUUAUCUUUUCAUAAUACGUAUAUUUUUUUUUUCUUCCCUUUUUCCAGACACAGACACGGUGAAUGGUUUACCGUGUUUAACUUAAAUAUCUAAUCCAGCCCGGCCCGCAUGGUGCUGACGUGGCGCCUACGUGGCAGGGCCAAGAUUAUUUUUGUAAAUUUAAAUUUAUUGGGACUAUUUUUAAAAUAAAUUAUUUUCAAGAGGCUAAUUGCAAAAAAAAGCCCCUGUUUGCAUAAAAAUAUAAAGAAAGUAAAAUAAUACAUGUGUCAGAUUGUGGUUGAUAAAAUGAAUCGCUUAGAAUCACGCAGUUUAUAAAUUUUAAUAUUUUUUAGUGUUACCGGCCGUUCCUAUAACAAGUGACAAAGAACUUGAUAAUUGGUAUCCAAAAUUUCAAAUUUGAAUUCUAAUUGAUUCACAUUUCUAUAGUAUACUACCUAUCUCUAAAAAAAAAAAAAAAUUAGUGUUGUAUCUUUAGGUCUUUACAUCUUUACAGUAGGGAUGCUAAUUCAACUCGUUGUUCACAAGUCAACUCGUGUUCGACUCGAAAUGAAAUCAAAAUUGAAUCGCUCGUUUAACAAACGAGCCAAAUACGAGCUGAAUUUUUCAGCUCAUUUAAUAAACAAGGCGAACACGAGCUAGGGUCAUCUCGUGUUCGGCUCGAUAAUAAUUAAAAUUAAGCUCGUUUAAUAAACAAGCCGAACANAAUUUUUAGUCAAAAAUAUAUAUAUAUAAAGCCGAGUUCAAUUAUAAAGACUUAUCUAUACUAAUCUAUGAAUCCCCAAUAUCUUGCUGACAUGGCAUUACCUCCUUCUUGCUGAUAUCGCUUCAAAGAAAAAUUAUUCGUCGAAUGUUUUUUUGGUUGCUAGCGAUUUUCACUAUCAUUAAAAGAAAAAAAAAGUUUUCUAAAUUAUUUUCGAACUGCAUUAGUUAUUAGAGGUGACGAAUGACGUAUGAUCGACCAAUGAUUGUUCACGGGAGAGGAAAUACAGUUUACCGGAAUUACAGCAAAUGUUGGUUGAGAUGGCUUGCAGUUUUGCGCCAUCUACUCCUCCUAGUAAUGGGUUCGGCGCCGGAGUAUCGACCGGAGAUGCGAAAAGAUUCGGCAAUGGUACGUGCAGAUCGAAUGGCGGAAAUGAAAUCCGGCGUUCGUGCGUCAGGUGUAGGGAGAUUCGGCAGCACCGGCUCUUAUUAUGUGCAGCACUUGUCCAGAUUUAGAGAUGUUGUGUGUAUAAAUAUUUUUGUAGUUAAUUGGAUGAGUUAAUUUUGGGAAUAGUGAAGCUAGAAAUUUUGGGUUUUUGUGAUCGAAAAUAAGAAGGGAACUUCAAUUAGGUUUAUUGUGGUUUUGCGUAUUUUUAAUUUGCUAUUUUGUGGUUUAAAAUAUUUUACCAUUUUAUUUUAUAGUCUUGUUUUUGUUUGGUUGUGGAAAUCUGACAUCAAGAAAAAUUUUAAAAUGCUAAAAUUGGUAAAUUAAGGGAUGAUAACGUAAUAUAUUUUACAAAUUAUAAGAUGUUUGUAUAUGCUAGUGUUGUUCACCUUUUAAGUUGAUAGAAACGUAUAGUAUUUAUCUGAGGUAAUUUUAAAUUUGACUAUUUAAUCAAAAUAUUUAUUUUAUUAUCAGUCUUUAAAUCUAUUUGACUUUGAAACUUAAGUUCCUUUUCUAUUUUAAUAAAUUUUAUAGUUACGAAACUUACAUCAAAUACUUAGUGUAUUUGAUGUAAGUUUCGUAACUAUAAAAUUUAUUAAAAUAGAAAAGGAACUUAAGUUUUGAAGUCAAAUUAUCGUUUACUUAUUCAAAUUAAAUGAUAUGACAGUAAAAUUUAUUUUUUGAAAUAUCAGAUUGUAGAUUCAAAAUAAUUUUUACCUUUUAUUAUCAUGUGAGAUUGGAUUGAUGUCCGGUUUUGUUUAGACCUGGGCGAAACUCUGGGCUGGGCUGGGCCUGAUUGUGGGCUUGGAUUUGUUGGCUGGUCUGAGGCCGGAUCGGCCCAGUAUAUAUUUUUAUAUAUGUAUAUUUGUAUAUAUAAAAUUCAGAAUAUUCAUGAUUUGAAUUGUAAUUUUUCUACUGUACCCCAAGAGGUAAAGUAAGUGGCAUUCCUUCUUGGAAAGGCUAUGGGCCAAUGAUUUAAAACACGGUUCGAACUGGCAAGUUUGAUCAGUCUGAUCGUAGCCUAGUUUAUGAAGUGAUUCUGUUCAACUCUUUAAACUAAAUAAGUAAAAAAAUUACUUUAAACCGUUUGAAUCAGGUUAGGUGGUAUAUAUAUAACUGAUAAGCGCAAGAAAGUGAUUUUUUGGUCUUUUCGGUCUUUUUUUGAAUUCUUGGAAGCAGUUUCACCCUCUUUUCCAAAUCUUUGGUCUUUUCUUGAAAUUUUGGAGGGAGCUAUGUGCGUGACAUAGGGAUGUCAAUGGAUAUGGAUAUCCGAAAUUUUAUCUGAAUCCGAAUCCGAAUAAAACGAAUAUAUCCGAUAGAUAUGGAUAUGGAUUGGAAUAUAGAUUCGGAUAUGAAUAUCAAAAUUUAAAACCCGACGAAUAUGAAUUCGGAUAUGGAUUUUAAUUGUACCCAACCCGAAUCCGAACCCGAUCCGAACCCGAAUUUAUUUUGUAUUAUAUAUAUAUAUAUAUAUAUAUAUAUAUAUNAAUAUAAUAUAUUUUGAAAUAUUGAAAAAAGAAAUAAUUGUUUCGGGUUCAAAUUUUCGGGUUCGGAUUCGUGUUUCGGAUUUUUGAUCGGAUUCGGGUUUGAAUAUAGAUUAUUAAAAUCCGUCAGGUUCGGAUUCGGAUUUUCAAAAACCCGCCCCGAAUCCGAUCCGUUGACAUCUCUAGCGUGACGGCACGUUUACCACCCUCAUGAAAACAAAUGCUUUAUUUAAUUAUCUCGCGCACUCCUUUUUUUUUCUAUAAUAACGAAUUAAUAAAAAGAGUAUUAUUACAAGAGUGUUGGAACCUAUUCAACUAAGAUAUGAUUAGAUCACUUCACCAUCUAAUAAUAUUGAAGGGUUUUUAUUCAUUUUCAGUGGGAGACAACUCUUUUCACGCAUCAAUGCUUCUGAGAAAUGCUAUCAUAUAGAUUUUCAAUGAGUUUGUAUUAAAAAAUACCAGAUGAGUUUUGGCUCCCUUCACUGUGUAAAAAAAAAAAAAAAGUUUAGAAGGUCUAGAUCAUGUACAAUAAUACUGAUCAUUGAUUUGAGAAUUUUAUCAUCGAAAAUAAAUCGAUAGUAAAUUAAGCAGUUUUCUAUUAAUAGUAUUUCUAGUUUAUAUAUAUAUAUAUAUAUAUAGAGUUUUGCUAGAAUACUAUCGGUAGUAAACGAGCCAUUUUACUACUCAUUUAUUUUCAAUGAUAGAACUUUCAAAUUGACGAUCGGCUCCGUUGAACAUGAUCUAUACCACUUGAAAUGUUUAGAACUUAAAUUUUAAAUCUUUUCGACAUCAUUUGCCUAAUGAUCAAAGGAUUUCAAAAUUUGUAAUUUUAAUGGUCGAUAAGAGGCGUUUUCUCGUUUAACGGCGUAAAGAUAUCAAAAUCAAUUAAAUUUUUGUUAGAAAAUUCUUUAAACUAUUUAAAACAAGAUCUAUACUCUUGAUCUUGAUUACAAGACUCCUAUCAUCAUUUUUUAAAGAGUAUUCAUUUUCAGCCUUUUAUUUUUCUGUUCAUUUGAUGAAUAAAAGAACAAUAUCGAAAGUGCAUGAAAUUUGAUUUCUAGGUAAUUUAAAUGGUUUAGAUCAUAUUUAACGAAGCCGAUCGUCAAUUUGGAAGCUCUAUCAUCGAAAACAAAUCGAUAUUAAACGUCUUGUUUACCUACCGAUUAGUAUUCUAGCUCAAGUAUAUAUAAGUAUUAUGAUAUUAUAUAUAUAAUAUAUAUAUAUAUAUAUAUAUAGAGUGCUAGGCUACUAUAUUAUCUAUAGUACCGAGCUCCGGUACUAUAGUGUUUGCUUUCGAUCUUUAGGGGCGUGUUCAAAUCAACGAUCCACACCGUUAAAACUGAUCUAGGGAUUUAAAGUUUCUAGAAAUAAAAUUUUAUAUUUUUUCGACAUAGUUUACCUGUAUGAUCAACUAUUUCAAAAUUGUCAAUUUUCAAUGACUAUUAUGGCGAGUUGGAGUUUACGUGUAAAAGAAUCUAAAUUUCUUCAAAUUUUGAUAGAAAAUACUUUAAAAUAUAUAGAUUAAAGUAACAUUCUGAUCUUGAAUUUAAAAGUUCUAUGCUCAAAUUUUAAAAAUUAUUCAAUUUCCACCGUCCAUUUUGAUAUAAUUUAUUUACUAAAUAAACGAUAUCGAAAAAAACUAAAUUUUAUUCCUAAGAAAUUCAUAUACCUUAGAUCAUAUUUAACGUGUGGAUCAUUGAUUUGAAUGCCCUAAGAUAAAAACAAAACACUAAUAGUACCGGAGCUCGUAUAAUAGAUAGUAUAGUAGCCUAAUUAUAAUAUAUAUAUAUUAUAUAUAGUAUAUAUAUAUAUAUAUAUAUAUAUAUAUAUAAUUAGGCUGGAAUACUAUUAAUAGUAAAACAUUCUUUUUACUAUCAAGUUUUUACCCUUGGAUGAAACGUUUAGGGUUAGUAUGAUAUUAGUCAGUUUAGAGUUAAGGUGGUUCCCUUAGGGUUGAGUGGUCGCCACAGGGUUAUAGUAUUUAAUCCAAUGGUUAGAAAUGAUGAAAAGAGUUGAUCUCAAAGGCUAAAAAACUGGUACAACAAUGGCAUUUUGCUACUAAUAGUGCCAUCCAAUCUUAUAUAUAUAUAUAUAUAGAGAGAGAGAGAGAGAGAGAGAGAGAGAAUUAAGUUGGAACAUAUGCUAAGCCUACCGUCUACAAAAAGAGUAAUCCAUUUUCUAAGAUUUAAAUUUUUAAAAAAGUUUAGCAAUGAAAAAAGGGAUGAUAAGAAUAGAAAUAUGGACUAAUAAAAUUAUAACCAACUUUUGGUUGUAGGACUAACAACGUUAUAUCUAUAUUUCCCAGGUGAUAAUUUUUGGGCGGUUCAAAACAUUUCAUUCUUUGUCGGUAUUCUUUAACGCAUUUAUAUAUGGACCAACUGCCAAGCAAUUUCAGAUCGAGAUGGUCAACUAUGUUAGAUAUAGUAUCCUUAUAUCUAUAUAUCUUUAUUAUACAAAGAUUUCGAAUCAAAAUAUGGAUGCUAAACAAAUAUUGAAUUUUAUAUAUCUAUAUAUGUAUGAGUUGGACUUACAUAUUUGGACGAAUAAGAAUUCUUCUUCUUCUUUUUUUUUUAGAGAUAGAUAGCACGCUAUCCGUUUCGUUUAUUUUAUUUAGAAAUAAACUUAGCUGGAAAUAUGAAUCAACUAGAAUUCGAACUUGAGUCUCGAGUACCAACCACAGAAUCUUUUGCCACUUGCUCUAGGGACGGUCGGUUGGACGAAUAAGAAUUCACUACGGGGCAUAUUUGACCUUGUGAGUGCUGUUGAGGGAAAGAAAAGUCUAAUGAUAAGUUUUUUUUUUUUUAGAGAGAUUGGUAGCAUGCUAUCUAUUUCGUUUAUUUCAUUUAAAAAUAGAUUUAGCUGGAAAAGUCAAUCAACUAGGAUUCGAACUUGAGUCUCAAAUACUAAACAUCAAGUCUUUUGCCACUUGCUCUAAGGAUGGUCGGUAAGUCUAAUGAUAAGUUGUUUGCAUAUAUGUAUGAUCUGUUUGUCUCUAUAUCUAAUUUUUUAUAUCUGAAUAGUAUCAUGAUUCAUUGAUUCGAACAGUGUAAGCACCGAAUAUCUAUAUCCUUAUAUGCAUUCGAAUUCCGGGUAAAUACACUCGGAUAUAUAUCAUAUACAGUAAUGUAAGCAGGCAAACAACAAUUAAUGAAGGUGCAAAAUCAAAUUUGACACUUAGGAAAGCAAAUGUAGUGCAACUAGCUUUUCCUUUAAAAUUGUUUGGAAAUGCGAAUACAUCUAGAAAGCUAUUUGGUUGCAUACAUUUUCAACUGCAUUGCAGUUGAAAAUACAUGUAUCUAUUAAUUUUUUGUUUAGUUUGGUAUAGUUAAGCCCAACUACUGCAGUUAUAUAUGCAUGAGAAGACCCAAUUGCAGCAGUUGCAGUUGAGCCGGAAUCGACUCUCCCAUUAAAAAAAAAACAAAGUAUGAUUUUUUUUUUUCAUACGUUUUUUUUUUAAUUUUUUUUUUUUAAAUACAUAUUCAUAAAAUCUGAUAGGAUUUAGUAAUGUCUGUUAGGGUCAAUAAAUUUUUUUCAUAUGCUUUUUAUUUUUCAGUUUGCUAAUUUAAUAAUAUCUAAAUUUUUAUUUUGACCAAAUUUAUAAUAUAUUUAUAUUUAAAACUUAUUAAAUUCAUAUAUAAUUUUAUAAUAUAUAAAUUAUAUAUAGAUAUAAAAAUCUUAAUUAAUAAUUAAAAAAUAAUUACGUUAUGCUAAGAAUAGAUAAUCUCACCUUUCUAUCUAAAAAUUGACAGAAUUUACAAAUACAAACUUUUGCAAACUACCAAACAGAAAAAAUAUAAUUGCAGCAGUUGCAAUUGCAUCAAACUAAACAGACUAGGGCUUAGUUUAGUAUUGAGGUCUAUCUAACGCUAUUCGAUAAAAUAGAGUUGAGAAAAAAGCAUAUAAAGAUAUGCUUCUGCAUUCUCCGGUGGGACCGCAGAAAAUAUAUCGUAACCGACUCAUCGCGAUAUGCGGAACGCAAUAUUACGUACGGAAACAAACAAGGUAUUUUUCAAACGUACUUUCUUACCACACGUAACGUAAUCUUCCCGCAAUUCUAAACGAAGCCUAGGUACAGUUAUAACUGUAACAUAUACUUUUAAUUAUAUUAUUUUUAUAGCUACAUCAAACCAAACAGCCCUAACGGAGACGAAGUCUAUUGUCUUAGUUAUUAGCUCUUUUUCAGUACAGAAAGAUUAAUUAUUUAGUGUUCAAAUUGUGCAACUCCUGAAUGAACUCCUCCAGGGCUAUGUAGGAGCUCCCGCCUUCCCUCACCGCCUCCACCGCCUUCCUUCCGAGCUCCUUGGCCCGAUCCCUGACCGCCCUCCCUCUUUCGCCCCGCACCGCCUCCGCCAGCGUCCGCGCGAGCUCGUGGGGGUCGGGCACCGCCGCCAAACCGCCGUCGCACGCGGGGAGCGCCACGCCGGCCUCCUCGACCAGCAGCCGCGCGUUCACGUGCUGGUCGGCGGUCAUCGGCCACGUCAGCAUCGCCACCCCGGCCGACGCCGCCUCCACCAGCGAGUUCCAGCCGCAGUGCGUCACGAACCACCCGACCGCCGCGUGCGCCAGUAUCGCCACCUGCGGGGCCCACCCCCGCAGCACCAGCCCCCGCCCCCCGACCCUCUUAUCGAACCCCUCCGGCACCUCCGUGCCCCCCCGCGCCGCCCACACGAACACCGCCCCGCUCCGCUCCAGCGCCGCCGCCGCCGCCGCCGCCUGCGCCGGCGUCAGCACCGCCAGGCUCCCGAAGCACACGUACACCACCGACCCCUCCGGGAACCGGUCGAGCCACGCCGACACUUCCGCCGCCGGCACCGAGCUGGGCCCGCCGCGGUCAUCGGCGGCGCCGGCGCCGCCGACCUCCGCGGCCGCGGCGGCUAGGGGCCCCACCGCCCACACCCGCUUCCGCGCGAGAUCGUCGAGCGGGCGCUCCAAGUAGGCCUCCUCGAGCGCCUCGAGCGAGUUCGCGACGAAGCCGUGGCUCUCGAGGUUCCAGAGGAAGUUGCGCCGCACGGAUUCGGAGAGCGGGUCGCCUUCCUUGUACGACCUGAAGAGGCGGGAGAGCUUGGGCAAGGGGUAGCUCGGGGAGUUGGGUAUGGAGGGGAAGGGGACGAGGUAGUCCUCGCCCUCGCCCUCGCCCUCGCCCUCGCCCUCGGGCCUCUUGGGCAUGCGCAGGAAGAGGGAGUGGAUCACGGCGGUGCCGAGGACGCCGGAGGGGGAGAAGACGAAGCCAGGGACGCCGAGCUCGGCGGCGAGGGGCUGGGCCCAGCCCACGGAGAUGUCGGAGACGACGGCGCAGACGGGCCUCGGGUGGGCCCGGGCCCAGGAGAGGAGCGGGCCGUGGAGAGAGGCGAGGGCGAGCAUCAGGAUGCCGAAGUAGGUCGGGGCCAUGUCCUUGGCGUUCUCGAGGCCCGGGGGGAGGGAGGGGUGGGAGAGGGGGAGGGAGAGGGGCUGGAUGGAGGGGGACUUGGAGAGGAGAGGGGAGAGGAGGGGGAGG
rnacentral:lncRNA from 1 species